rnacentral:rRNA from 1 species
UGCAGUCGAGCGAACAGAUAAGGAGCUUGCUCCUUUGACGUUAGCGGCGGACGGGUGAGUAACACGUGGGUAACCUACCUAUAAGACUGGGAUAACUUCGGGAAACCGGAGCUAAUACCGGAUAACAUUUGGAACCGCAUGGUUCUAAAGUGAAAGAUGGUUUUGCUAUCACUUAUAGAUGGACCCGCGCCGUAUUAGCUAGUUGGUAAGGUAACGGCUUACCAAGGCGACGAUACGUAGCCGACCUGAGAGGGUGAUCGGCCACACUGGAACUGAGACACGGUCCAGACUCCUACGGGAGGCAGCAGUAGGGAAUCUUCCGCAAUGGGCGAAAGCCUGACGGAGCAACGCCGCGUGAGUGAUGAAGGGUUUCGGCUCGUAAAACUCUGUUAUUAGGGAAGAACAAAUGUGUAAGUAACUGUGCACGUCUUGACGGUACCUAAUCAGAAAGCCACGGCUAACUACGUGCCAGCAGCCGCGGUAAUACGUAGGUGGCAAGCGUUAUCCGGAAUUAUUGGGCGUAAAGCGCGCGUAGGCGGUUUCUUAAGUCUGAUGUGAAAGCCCACGGCUCAACCGUGGAGGGUCAUUGGAAACUGGGAAACUUGAGUGCAGAAGAGGAAAGUGGAAUUCCAUGUGUAGCGGUGAAAUGC